AGUGAACGCUGGCGGCAGGCCUAAUACAUGCAAGUCGAACGGCAGCACAGCAGAGCUUGCUCUGUGGGUGGCGAGUGGCGGACGGGUGAGGAAUACAUGGGAAUCUGCCCAGUCGUGGGGGAUAACGUAGGGAAACUUACGCUAAUACCGCAUGCGCCCUUCGGGGGAAAGCCGGGGACCUUCGGGCCUGGCGCGAUUGGAUGAGCCCAUGUCGGAUUAGCUAGUUGGCGGGGUAACGUGCAACCAAGGCGACGAUCCGUAGCUGGUCUGAGAGGAUGACCAGCCACACUGGAACUGAGACACGGUCCAGACUCCUACGGGAGGCAGCAGUAGGGAAUAUUGGACAAUGGGCGCAAGCCUGAUCCAGCCAUGCCGCGUGAGUGAAGAAGGCCUUCGGGUUGUAAAGCUCUUUUGUCCGGAAAGAAAAGCAUCCAGUUAAUACCUGGGUGUCCUGACGGUACCGGAAGAAUAAGCACCGGCUAACUUCGUGCCAGCCGCCGCGGUAACAC
rnacentral:rRNA from 1 species